rnacentral:rRNA from 1 species
AACGAACGCUGGCGGCAUGCCCAACACAUGCAAGUCGAACGAGACCUUCGGGUCUAGUGGCGCACGGGUGCGUAACGCGUGGGAACCUGCCCUUAGGUUCGGAAUAACUCCCCGAAAGGGGUGCUAAUACCGGAUAAUGUCUUCGGACCAAAGAUUUAUCGCCUUUGGAUGGGCCCGCGUUGGAUUAGCUAGUUGGUAGGGUAAAAGCCUACCAAGGCGACGAUCCAUAGCUGGUCUGAGAGGAUGAUCAGCCACACUGGGACUGAGACACGGCCCAGACCUCUACGGGGGGCCGGAGGGGGGAAAAGUGGAAAAGGGGGGAAAGGCUGAACCAGGAAUUCCGGGGGAAGGAUUAAGGCCUUAGGGGUGUAAAGCCUUUUUACCCCGGAUGAAAAUGAAAGGACCGGGGAAAAAAGCCCCGGCUAAACCCG